rnacentral:lncRNA from 1 species
CAUGAGCUGUAACUAAUUAGUUUUGAAAUCUAAAUAGCCAACUUCCCAUGGCUCACACUGCCAGGACCCUGGAGGGGAAUGGAGUACACCCCAGCACUAAAAGAGGCCCUGAUCCCCAAGCUCACAGCCUCUGGAGCAGAAUCCACCAUCACCUUGGGCUCACAGGAGGAUAGUAGGCAUUCAUAAAAUGCUUGUGGAUGGACGGUGUCCUAAAAAUUCUGCAAGCGUGUCCCCGAGAUCCCACUGCCCCCAACAUCAGAGAAGGGCUGUCUGUAGCCCCUUGGGGAGCUGCCUGCAAGGACUGAGGGCCUGGGGAUCUAGAGAAGAGGUUUCCUCUUCCUCCGACAUCAGGAGUCCGCCUCCCUACUGGACGCAGUAGGGAGAGCUGAUGCAAAAUGCUUGACUUGGCCUUGGCCGACCCCAGGUGACUCCUGACACCAAGCAGCCUGGCAACAGGGGCCUGGGGGAGGGGAUAAUUUAUAUUUUUGCUUGGUGACAAAUGGCUAAAUAAUAGAUCUGGCUGGGGUUUCGGUUUCUCCCCCAGCAGCUUGACCGAUGUGUUGGCCUGUUGACUCAAUCGGCGUUAUUUUGGCCCUGUGGGGACCCAGAACUCGGUUUGUGCUCGGGGAGGCCUUCCCCUCUCUCUUGGGUGUUUGGGCUUCCCCCAGUGUCGUGUUUGUUUGCCUUCCUGUCUGGGGCCCUGAGGGUUGAAGAAGGCGGAGGCGUGGGCCUUUGCCAGACUCCAAGUUUUUACGUGGCCUGGGGCACAGACUCCUGUUUGCAUGGCUGGUGAAGCAGCAGCAUCUCCGUCCUCUUUGGCCCGGCAAAUGUGGUCCUUCCUCUCCCUCCAGCCCUAUCUGCCUUUCUCCCUGCAGCCACUCUUAGUAUUAAUGACAGUGGUAGAGCAAUGUAAUUCCUUACGUGCAAAUAGUGCUUUAUGGUUUGUGAAGCCCUUUCAGGGCAUCAUGUCAUUUGACCCUCCCACAGCCCUCUGUUUGGGGCUGAGGCUCAGGGAGGUUUGGGGACUUACCCAAGGUUAUGGACUCAUGAAAGUCAGAGCAGGUCUUUGGAUUUUUGGUCCUGUCUUCUGUCCUCUGACCCAAGAUGCCCUCUUGCCUUUGGAGACUGGGGAAGAGGCUGCCACCCUACAUCUAUUCCCCUUUCUUCCUUAGCAAUAGAACCUCAGUUUUACUCAAGGUAGCAUUGUUCCCAGGCAAAAGAAAGAUUCCUAGCCUAACUUGCAGCUGUGGUUUGUAACCAGGCGCUUCAGGAAAACUUAAAGAGGGGGCAUGGACCCUUUUUACCUUAUCUCACUAUCUGGAAUUCAGAGAUAAUGGCUGGAACUCAGCAGCCAUUCUGGACAAUGAGGUAACCUUGAGGAUAAAAGCCAUGUACUAAGAUAGUAAGUCAGAAAUACAGAAGGGUCCUGAGUCUCAGAUGACCAGAGAACUACUAUGCCAGCCAAGACUUCCUAAACCAAGACCUCUUUUACACGAGAGAGAAAUAAACUUCUAUUUUGUUUAAGUCAUUGCUAUAUGGUUCUCUGUUUGCAGCCAAGUUGAAUUGCUCCUGAUUCAGGAGCCUCAUUUCCAGUAAGACACCACCUCUCCUGCACCCCUUCCUGCUGACUGAGCAUGUGGAAGGCUCUCUUCUAGUGGUUCUCAGCUCUCCUUGUUGUAUAUUCUGGGCCUGGGUCAUGAGAACUAGCCCCUGUACAUUUCUGGGUCCCUUGAACCUGAGGAGAGUUCUAGAGAAUGACCACAUAUAUUUCCUUCUGUUAGUUCUCAUAGCCCAGUGACACUACUGAUGGGGGGAGAACACAUGAAAACUCCAAGCCCUCAGCCAUUUGCAUAGGCUGGAUUCUUCUGAGGGUUAGUUUACAAACACUUCCAACUACUCUUCAUCCUCCGUAUUGCAGAGGGUGGGCCAGAGGGUUUAUCAUUUGGGCCCUGCUCCUCAUCUGCCCCACCCCCAAAGCAGAGAAAGUAGAGUCCCGGUGUUCAUGAUCCCUGCCUCCUGAAUCCCUACCAGUAAAACGUUUGAAGCACAUGCACCCCUGACAGUUGCAUGUCUUUUGGCUAAAGAAUUACAGACCUCCUCCUGUUGGUCUGGCCAUGUGGAACUGUGAGGAACUGAUGUACCUUGACUGAUCGGGGGCUGGGCUCAGCCUUGUGCAUCAGGUCACAGAUGUCUUUAAGGGCUGGGCUCUCUCUAGCUUUCAGAAGUGCCUCUAUCGGUUAUUGUGUUGGCUUUUGUUCUCAAGUCCAUCCCUUCAAGGGUAUGUGUUAAAAUCGUAUCUGCCUUCUCAGUAAGAAAAUGGGCAGGGGCAGUGCCAGCCUGCCAUGCUCUGGCACUGUCGCUUUCUGAGAAGCAAAAUGUCUUUUCCAGAAACCUCUGGUGAACGUGUCUUUCUGCCUUAUUAGCCAGCCCUGGGUCACAUGGCUUCACUGGUCACAGGAGUCUGGGAAGUUAUCAGGUAACAAGGGGAAACAGAGGUGAGAAUGGAAUGGCUGUUGGGUGGCACCUCAUAGGGUCUGCAAUGCACGUUUACCACUGGGCCAGUGUGUUGGUUACAUGAUAAAAGCUGCAUUAAAAAUAGGAUUUUUUUUUUUUUUUUUUUUUUUUUUUUUUNUUUUUUUUUUUUUUUUUGUGCACCCGCACAUGGAAGUUCCCAGGCUAGGGAUUGAAUCCGAGCCACAGCUGCAACCUGUGCAAUAGCUGUGACAACACUGGAUCCUUUAACCCACUGUGCUGGGCCGGGGACCAAACCCUUGGCUCCACAGUGACCUGAGCUGCUACAGUCAGGUUCUUAACCCACUGUGAGAAAUCCCUCAGUACCUUUUAAGAAACAGUAAAUAUUGGAGUUCCCAUCAUGGCGCAGUGGUUAACGAAUCCGACUAGGAACCAUGAGGUUGCGGGUUCAGUCCCUGCCCUUGCUCAGUGGGUUAAUGAUCCGGCGUUGCCGUGAGCUGUGGUGUAGGUUGCAGACGCGGCUCGGAUCCUGCGUUGCUGUAGCUCUGGCGUAGGCCGGUGGCUACAGCUCCGAUUCGACCCCUAGCCUGGGAACCUCCAUAUGCUGCAGGUGUGGCCCUAGAAAAAGGCAAAAAGACAAAAAAGAAAAAAAAAAAGAAACAGUAAAUAUUAGAUAAGACAUUUCCCUUCAAUAACAGCUCCCCACGUCUGAGCAAGAGAUGGGGUGGGGAGAGUUAAAGUAUUGAAAGUAUGGAAAGCAAUGGCAGUUCCCCAAAGAACAUUUUAAUAAUGCCCAUUAUUCAAGUGUCCAGGUGUUUUUCAUUUCUGUAGCAACCAAAGCCACAUGCUGAGGAUUCCUGCUGGGGCUAGAGCACAGGACCGGAGGCCGACCAACAUUUGCCUGCUGUAAGCCCCUGAUCCUGCGAUUCUGCUCUCUUGGCCUUAGUUUCCUCAGCUGGAACCUGGAAGGUUGGGCUAGAAGGUGUUAAGCCUGUCCCUUCCUCUUCUGUUUAGGGCAUCCCUGUUGUCAGAGUCACGUGACGCCUCUUUGCCUAGUCUCACCGUCCCGCUCCCCUCCCCAAGCCCCUUGGACUAUGGCCCGCCUUCCCUUUCUCCGACCUGCUUACUCACCGGUUCCCCUGCCCUCUGGUAACUCUGCCCUUUGGAAAGUGCUCCCAUCCCAGCAUCCUAUGGGAGGCAGCAUGAAGGUCUGGUCUCUGCUGGAGAUUCGGCCUGGGAUUUCAGAUGCUCCCCCACUCCCCAAACAGAUUCAGAGCCCUUUCAGUAUGCAAGGACAUGUCCUAGGGCUUCAUAUGUUUUAUCGCACAUAACACUAGGAGCUUGCUACUCUUAUUAUCAUCAUUACCAUCACCAUUACCACUUUUAAAAUGAAGAGAAUGGGGCACAGAGAGGUUAAGUACCUUGCCCAAGGUCACACAGCUGAUAGGGGGCAGAGCUGCAUGUUUGCCCAGGCAUUCUGGCUCUAGAGCCUUGCUCUUAACCACUAUGGUAGACGGUAUUAAUUUCUCUGUCUCUGUGACUUUGGGUGCGUUCUUUUGUUAUUUCUGUAAAUGCAGAACCAUUGGAGAGCACAUUGCAGACAUCAUGCCACUUCACCUUAAAUACUUCAGCGUCUCUACCAGGUGUUUCUCUAUAACCUCAGCACCCAGGAUAUUUGACACCGACACAAACUAUCAUCUAAUACCAUGUUUAUUUUCAAAUAUCCCUCUCUCAAAAAUAUCCUUCGUAGCUUUUUUUUCAAUAUAGAGUCCAAUCAAUGACCACACAUUUAGUUAUAAUAUUUUAAAAACUUUUGGGAGUUCCUGCCGUGGCUCAGCGGAAACAAAUCUGACUAGGAUCCAAAGAGGAUGCAUGUUCAAUCCCUGGCCUCACUCAGUGGGUUAAAGAUCCGGCAUUGCCAUGAGCUGUGGUGUAGGUUGUGCCACUGUGGCUGUGGUGUAGGCUGGUGACUACAGCUCCAAUUUGACCCCUAGCCUGGGAACUUCCAUAUGCCUUGGGUGCGGCCCUAAAAAGUAAAAAAAAAAAAAAAAGAGGGUUUUUAGUACAUUCAUAAAGUUGUGCAACUAUUACUACUUUCUAAUUCUAGAAAAUUUUCAUCGUCCCCAAAGAGACCCUGUACCCAUUAGCAGUCACUCCCCACUUGCCUGUAGCAACCACUAAUCUGUUUUCCAUUGCUGUGGGUUUAUAUAUUCUAGAUGUUUCAUAUAAAUGGAAUCAUAUAGUCUGUGGCCUUUUGUGUCUUGCUUCUUUCACUUAGCAUCAAAGUUUCAAGAUUCACCCAUGUCAAAGCAUGGAUUCAUUCAUUUUUAAAGGCUGAAUAAUAUUCCAUUGCACAGACAUACCACAUUUUGUUUAUCCAUUCAUCUGUUGAUGGACCCUUGGGUUGCUUCCACUUGUUGUCUAUUAUGAACAGUGUUGGGGUCCAGGCUGCUAUUUUGCAGAAUGUCCCUCCGUUCAGAUUGUCUGAUUGUUUUCCUCGUAGUUUCAGGUUCACUGCAUCUAUUUUCAUAGCCUAAGAAAUGGCUUUCUCUUUCUGCUGAGCCCAGUGAUGGCCAGCGUCUCUGCCCAGCUACGUCGCCGGCAGGUGGAACAGCCUAUUGGAGGCAGAGCUCCCUGCCUCCCCAACAAAGCAGUGCUGUGCUUAUUGCCACUGCCCACAGUCCCUGCUGCUGCCUUCCCUGCCCUGUGGGCACAGAACCUCAGAGCUAUUUCAAGCCCUUUCGUGGUAGACCUGGCCUGGGAAAGUCUGAGGUCCUGGCUGCUGGACACAAGUGCCUUCCUUAGAGGCAUGAAGGUCAUUCCCUGGGCUUGGCUUCUUUGGUCUGGUGGCCCAGCCCCUUGCUUCUGGUUCCCACCGACCCCCAGCAGUCACCCCCCGGCAACUGGCAUGAGGGAACAGAAUACACCUCACUGGGAUGGGCUUCCUGUUGACAAAUGCCGGCUUGUGGCAUCGGGUGUGGUUAAGGCUCAAAAGAGCAUCUCUCUAAAAAUGGGCCCUUUCUGCUCAAUGGAUUUGGAGCACGUGUGUCUUUGAGUCAUUGCUGUUUCCUUCAUCCUGGCAAAAAUGACCUUUCUUUCCCUGCUGGUUUCCUCUGCGCAGCCCCCGGAGUCCCACAGCUAUGAGAACCUGGCGUUCUUCCUUCCUGGACCUCUUCCCCCCGUAACAGCUCAACCUCCCUGGCAAAAUCCACAGAGAUGCUGGGCCGCUGCUCCAUAGCUGUUUGUUUUCUUGUUUAGAGCAGAAUGAGGCAGGGCUUUUGAGUCACUUUCUGACUCGCUGUGUGGCUUUGAACAAGCCACUGGACCACUCUGUGCUCCUGUUUUCCCAGUGGGAAAUGAGAGAACGGAUGAUGUCAUUCUUUGCAGCAUUUCUCCACAGACUGGGGUUUGUUUAGGGGUGAGACAAUGGAGCAAGUGACAGAGAUGGGGUGAACCUCCUUCCUUGGAGGUGCAGACAUUGAACAAUAGGUCAGAUCCCCAUUUGGCCAUCCUGGCAGAUAAAGAGGUGGCUGUGGAAAGAGCAUGAGCUUGAGGGCCAGACUCUCUCAUGGCCAAGAUGUAUCUCUCUGUUUUUUACUAGCUGUGUGGCCUCAGGCAAGUUAAUCUCUCAGACCCUCCCUAUAAUAUAGCUCCUAUAAUAUAAAGGUAGCUUUUCCAGGGUUGAUGAAGAGAUCAAAGGGGGGUGAUUCUGUAAAGUGCUAAGGACAGUUUCUAGAAGGUUGUAGAAGUCCAAUAAACCAUUGAUUUUGAGAAAGUACAGUCACCUAAGAUAGCAGUGGGCUAGUUUCUUGGGCUCUAUCCAAAUCCUUUCUCCUCUCUUUUGGCCAGUUUCUCAUGCUGAGGUUUAAGCCAGGUAAUUUAGUGUCUUUGGAUGGAUGCUGUACUGUGGGGUUGGCCCUGGAGAUGAAGGUCCCUUAUCUCUCACCCUCCUUUUUGCUCAGCCCAGUUUUCACCUCUUUGGAAAACAACCCAUCAGAAACGGGUUGCAAAAGGUCCCAAGUUAUCUCAAGGAACACUUCUGGAGGGGGAAUUGCUGCAGGGCGGGCUGUGAACCCCACCUGUGGGGCCGAGACUCCCUGGGAGGUUUGUGGGUUCCAGCCUCCCUGGUGGCCUGGCUCGGGUGGGCCACCCAGGGGGUGAGAUUUCAGGACUGCCCAGCCACAGCUCCUCCCCAUCUUGUGGGCUAAUUCUUGAUAGUCCUCGAAGCCCAUUGAUUUAAAGCUUUGAUCCCUGCUGGAGAGAGAUCCACCUGGGAAAAGAUAGCACUUAAUCCUUCUCAAUCAUGUAGCCCUCAAAACUCCAUAUGCCGUGGGGUGGCCAAAAAAAAAAACAAAAAAAAAAAA